ACACAAGUCCUUCUUCUGGGAAAAAGGUCCCAUAAAAUCCUUCCCAACACUUGCAAGAAUGCAAAUAGGAUUUGAAGAAGAUGGUUCUCGUUUGAUUGUACCACUAAGCAACAUCUUCUGGUCUUUUGCACAACAGGUGCUUGUGAUCUGCCAUCCAUCCAGAGCAGGAUCAGCAGUGAUUCUGCAGCCUCGCUCAGAGUGAGCAAUGAUGGGUGUGGGAGAGUCAACCAUGGAACACCUGAGCACAGCAAGACAGCAGGAGACCUUGUGGUGAUUAUUAAUGGAAAAUUUGUAACAGUGUUCAAUUUACAUGAUGAGUAGUGUAAACAGAGAGGUUAUUGAAUGAGGAGUGAAAACUACUAGGCAGGAGGUUAGUAGUUGUUGCUUUAACUUGGGACCAGAAAGAAAAUCCUCCCUGGGGUCAUUAACUGUAUUCUCCUGACACUCUGCUAGACCAGAACUUACCUCAGCUCUCAAGUGGUCCUUCUAUCUCAGCUUGAAAUGCCUGAAGUGUUGGUGAUUAUUUCGUUCUGUGAGCUAUGACCUAAGCUGCGAGUGUCAGUCUCAGAAGACAAUUGCAUUUCUCAGAGAAGUUUCCUUGAGAACCUUUUCUGG
rnacentral:lncRNA from 12 species